CAAUUCAAUUCAUCUUUCUCAUUUUCUUCAAUAAUGGAUACUCUCUUCUCUCUCUCUCUGCCGCCUUUCUUACUCUCCUGCCGCCUUUCUUACUCUCCUCUCGCUUUCUUCUCUCUUAGGUAUUUCAAUUACUCAUCACUCACUCAACUACGCAUUAUAAAUACCAUCCAAUUUCUUUCAAAUUGAUUAUUUCUCUUCUUCUUCUUCAUUUCUAUUAUAGUUUUCUUCUCUCUCAGGUAUUUCAAUUACUCAUCACUCACUCAACUACGCAUUAUAAAUACCAUCCAAUUUCUUUCAAAUUGAUUAUUUCUCUUCUUCUUCUUCAUUUCUAUUAUAGUUUUCUUCUCUCUC
rnacentral:misc_RNA from 1 species